GUGAACGCUGGCGGUAGGCCUAACACAUGCAAGUCGAACGGCAGCACAGUAAGAGCUUGCUCUUACGGGUGGCGAGUGGCGGACGGGUGAGGAAUACAUCGGAAUCUACUUUUUCGUGGGGGAUAACGUAGGGAAACUUACGCUAAUACCGCAUACGACCUACGGGUGAAAGCAGGGGAUCUUCGGACCUUGCGCGAUUGAAUGAGCCGAUGUCGGAUUAGCUAGUUGGCGGGGUAAAGGCCCACCAAGGCGACGAUCCGUAGCUGGUCUGAGAGGAUGAUCAGCCACACUGGAACUGAGACACGGUCCAGACUCCUACGGGAGGCAGCAGUGGGGAAUAUUGGACAAUGGGCGCAAGCCUGAUCCAGCCAUACCGCGUGGGCGAAGAAGGCCUUCGGGUUGUAAAGCCCUUUUGUUGGGAAAGAAAAGCAGCAGGUUAAUACCCCGCUGUUCUGACGGUACCCAAAGAAUAAGCACCGGCUAACUUCGU
rnacentral:rRNA from 1 species